CUGGUUAUAGGCUCUGCUGCAUAAGGACCUUUGCUUGGGUCUUGAAAAAUACUGAAGAUGUUGUGGGUGCUAUUAGACAGAAAGUACAAGGAAAACACAAAUGAAGUUAUAGGAAAAAAAACAACUAUUGAGCUAAUAACCUCUGAAACAACUUAGUAAGAAUGUCUAUUGGCACCAGGAACUGUAGAGAAGUCAAGGAAACACUGGGGUCCCUUCCUAGAGGAGCUGCCAGG